rnacentral:rRNA from 1 species
AGUGAACGCUGGCGGUAGGCCUAACACAUGCAAGUCGAACGGCAGCACAGUAAGAGCUUGCUCUUACGGGUGGCGAGUGGCGGACGGGUGAGGAAUACAUCGGAAUCUACUUUUUCGUGGGGGAUAACGUAGGGAAACUUACGCUAAUACCGCAUACGACCUACGGGUGAAAGCAGGGGAUCUUCGGACCUUGCGCGAUUGAAUGAGCCGAUGUCGGAUUAGCUAGUUGGCGGGGUAAAGGCCCACCAAGGCGACGAUCCGUAGCUGGUCUGGGAGAAUGAUCAGCCACACUGGAACUGAGACACGGUCCAGACUCCUACGGGAGGCAGCAGUGGGGAAUAUUGGACAAUGGGCGCAAGCCUGUUCCAGCCAUGCCGCGUGGGUGAAGAAGGCCUUCGGGUUGUAAAGCCCUUUUGUUGGGAGAGAAAAGCAGCAGGUUAAUACGCAGAUGUACUGACGGUACCCAAAGAAUAAGCACCGGCUAACUUCGUG